rnacentral:misc_RNA from 1 species
AAGAUCCUUUUAGUUAUGGCUACAGGGAUUGUUACUCCUUGCCAAUUGGCGGAGCUUGGGGCUAUGAUUUUCAUUUACAAGAAGAAGAUAAAGCUUUUCUUGGGAUUCCUGAAAACAGCUAUAAUAAUAUAGAGCAACAACAUGGUUUCCAUGCAAAUUGGGAUUCUUCAUCUCCUUCCGUGAUGCAACAUGCAAAAGAUCAAU